UACGGAGGAUCCAAGCGUUUUCCGGAUUUAUUGGGUUUAAAGGGUGCGUAGGCGGAUUUCUAAGUCAGAGGUGAAAGUUUGCAGCUUAACUGUAAAAUUGCCUUUGAAACUGGUAGUCUUGAGUACAGUUGAGGUGGGCGGAAUGUGUCAUGUAGCGGUGAAAUGCUUAGAUAUGAUACAGAACACCGAUUGCGAAGGCAGCUCACUAAACUGUAACUGACGCGGAGGAACGAAAGCGUGGGGAGCGAACAGG
rnacentral:rRNA from 1 species